UACGUAGGGGGCAAGCGUUGUCCGGAAUCAUUGGGCGUAAAGCGCGUGUAGGCGGCUCGGUAAGUCUGCUCUGAAAGCCCGGGGCUCAACCCUGGGAGGCGGGUGGAUACUGCUGAGCUCGAGUCCGGAAGAGGCGAGUGGAAUUCCUGGUGGAGCGGUGAAAUGCGCAGAUAUCAGGAGGAACACCAAUGGCGAAGGCAGGUCUCUGGGCCACUACUGACGCUGAGAAGCGAAAGCAUGGGGAGCGAACAGG
rnacentral:rRNA from 1 species